GCGGUCGAGUAUAUCCCGCCCACGGGACUUAAAAUCCGUCGUCUUUAAGACUUGCGGGUUCAAGUCCCGCCGACCGCACCA
rnacentral:tRNA from 1 species